GCUAGAUUCUUAAUAAGCAUUUUUUUUAAGGCUUAGAAAGAAAACUUGCUUGGCAAAUGAAAAGAUGAGAAUCCAUUUCUAGUGACACAGUGACAGUAGCUGAGAUCAGUUCAUUUUCUAGAACAAAAACAAUUUCAACAAUAUACCUUUAAGUUUGGCUUUGGCAUUUUUUCUGUAUACAAAAUAAGUCUAGAUAUGUACACUGCUUUUGAACAAGUGAUAUUUUUGUGCCAUGUUAUCUUGUACAUCUAGGUUUGUUAGUGGAUUUUUGUAUGUGUACAAGUCUUUUAUUUUGUUUGUUUCAGCCUAUCAUGUUUGUAUUCCAAACUCCUGCAGUUAAUUUUUGGUCAUUUUCUAAUAUAAACUUUUAGCUUAUCUCGCACUGUAGUGGAAGAAUGUAUUUUUUUUAAUGACUAUUUAUGGCUAAACUAUGUGCAAUAUUAAUCCAAGUUUCUCAGGCAUUAAAGACAUUGUCCUUAGAUGAUUGAUCAACACUU